CCUACGGGAGGCAGCAGUCGGGAAUAUUGCGCAAUGGAGGAAACUCUGACGCAGGGACGCCGCGUGCAGGAAGAAGGUUUUCGGAUGGUAAACUGCUUUAGACAGGGAAGAAAAAAGACAGGACCAGGAGAAUAAGCGCCGGCUAACUAAGUGCCAGCAGCCGCGGUAAUACGGAGGGAGCAAGCGUGAUCCGGAUUGAUUGGGUGUAAAGGGUGCGUAGACGGCGAAGCAAGUUAGUGGUGAAAUCCCUCGGCUGAACUGAGGAACUGCAACUAAAACUACUUCCCUUGAGUACUGGAGAGGACAGUGGCCUUCCUCGUGUCGCGGUGCACUGCGUAGAUAUUAGGAG
rnacentral:rRNA from 1 species